UCUGGAAAGUAUCCAAUUAGUGAGAAAAGAAGAUGUAGCCAAGGAAGGGUUUCCAGAUGUAAAGGGUGGAAUGAAAAAGUGCCACAGAAGAGAGCAAAGGGACAAUUUGAAUACCAAAAGCCUGCAGGUGAAAGGUGGAUUUGCAUCUGCUCAGGCUUGAGUCAGCAGGGACCUCAAGCACCUCCUGUCUGGUUCAAUGUUUAGCAGAGUAUUAUUGUUUCAUGUUCUAAUGGUGUGAAGAACAAAAUUUAUUUUACUGGAAAUUUGAUAAGGAGAGAAAUUUUAAGGUUAAACCCUAAGUUCAAGGUAAAGGUUUUUUCAAGAAGAUAUGCUCUUGUUAUUAAAGGGAUUUGUUUGGCUGGAUUGUAUACAAAGGAUGAAAUCCCAAGAGAGUUUAUUUCAGAAGAUGGGCAUAGUAAAAGAACAGUAUCUAGCAUGAUAGAGUCUAAGAAAUGUUUCAAUAAUGGUGUUAUACAUUAAAAAGAUUCCUUCAACCCUGAAUUACUGUGUGUGCACUAAUAUGCACACUAAUAUA